AUUGAAACAAUUCAAUUCAAUAUAAAAUUGAAACAAUGUCGAGAAGGUCAGCAUGGUCCCUGCACAAGGAUGACAUACAAAUCUGUGAAGUGUUGCAUAUUUCU